rnacentral:rRNA from 1 species
UACGGGGGGGAGCAAGCGUUGUUCGGAUUUACUGGGCGUAAAGGGCGCGUAGGCGGUCGUGACAAGUCACUUGUGAAAUCUCCGGGCUUAACUCGGAACGGUCAAGUGAUACUGUCGGACUAGAGUACAGAAGGGGCAACUGGAAUUCUCGGUGUAGCGGUGAAAUGCGUAGAUAUCGGGAGGAACACCAGUGGCGAAGGCGACUUUCUGGCCUGUUCUUGACGCUGAGGCGCGAAAGCUAGGGUAGCAAACGGGGAUUAAGAUAC